rnacentral:rRNA from 1 species
GUCGACGGUAACGGGAGAGAUUUAUCUCUUGCCGACGAGUGGCGGACGGGUGAGUAACGCGUAGGAAUCUGCCUGGCAGUGGGGGACAACUUGGGGAAACUCGAGCUAAUACCGUAUAUAUUUCUUUAUCUUGAAGAUAGAGAAGGAAAGGGGGGUCUUUGGCCUCUCGCUGUUAGAUGAGCCUGCGUCGGAUUAGCUUGUUGGUGGGGUAAUGGCCUACCAAGGCGACGAUCCGUAGCUGGUCUGAGAGGAUGAUCAGCCACACUGGGACUGAGACACGGCCCAGACUCCUACGGGAGGCAGCAGUGGGGAAUAUUGGACAAUGGGCGCAAGCCUGAUCCAGCAAUACCGCGUGUGUGAAUAAGGCCUUCGGGUUGUAAAGCACUUUCAGUGGGGAAGAAAGGUCCGAGGUUAAUACCCUCUGGGCUUUGACGUUACCCAAAGAAGAAGCACCGGCUAACUCCGUG